CUGUGUGUGUUUAUAACUCUGACAAACAUCAAACAUGAUCAACAACUGUUUCUCACUAGAACUGAACCUACAACCAACAGAAAUGACUUUCAUCACCAUAUUGAUCUGGACUCUGACUGUAUUAUGUAGAGAAUCUAUUGGGCAGGUGACAGUGACUCAAACUCCCUCAGUGCUGCUCGCUCAAACUGGACAAUCAGUCACUGUGACCUGUACAUUUAACAGAGAUCCAGACUGCUGUUGUAAUGGAAAACAGUGUCUCAGCUGGUACUUACAGAAACCUGGAGAAGCUCCUAAACUCCUGAUUUAUGGAACAAGCAGCCGUCAGUCAGGAACUCCAUCUAGAUUCAGUGGCAGUGGAUCUAACAGUGAUUUCACUCUGACCAUCAGUGGAGUCCAGACUGAAGAUGCUGGACAUUAUUACUGUCAGAGUUACCAUUACAUCAACAGUAAAAGUGUGUUCACACAGUGAUUGUGAGUGAUACAAA